CUUGCUAUUUUUAUGAAGAGCGGCGAACGGGUGAGUAACGCGUGGGAAAUCUGCCGAGUAGCGGGGGACAACGUUUGGAAACGAACGCUAAUACCGCAUAACAAUGAGAAUCGCAUGAUUCUUAUUUAAAAGAAGCAAUUGCUUCACUACUUGAUGAUCCCGCGUUGUAUUAGCUAGUUGGUAGUGUAAAGGACUACCAAGGCGAUGAUACAUAGCCGACCUGAGAGGGUGAUCGGCCACACUGGGACUGAGACACGGCCCAGACUCCUACGGGAGGCAGCAGUAGGGAAUCUUCGGCAAUGGGGGCAACCCUGACCGAGCAACGCCGCGUGAGUGAAGAAGGUUUUCGGAUCGUAAAACUCUGUUGUUAGAGAAGAACGUUAAGUAGAGUGGAAAAUUACUUAAGUGACGGUAUCUAACCAGAAAGGGACGGCUAACUACGUGCCAGCAGCCGCGGUAAUACGUAGGUCCCAAGCGUUGUCCGGAUUUAUUGGGCGUAAAGCGAGCGCAGGUGGUUUCUUAAGUCUGAUGUAAAAGGCAGUGGCUCAACCAUUGUGUGCAUUGGAAACUGGGAGACUUGAGUGCAGGAGAGGAGAGUGGAAUUCCAUGUGGUAGC
rnacentral:rRNA from 1 species